rnacentral:rRNA from 1 species
AGAGUUUGAUCAUGGCUCAGGAUGAACGCUAGCUACAGGCUUAACACAUGCAAGUCGAGGGGAAACGACAUCGAAAGCUGCUUUUGAUGGGCGUCGACCGGCGUACGGGUGAGUAACGCGUANCCAACCUGCCCACCAUUUGGGGAUAACCUUGCGAAAGUAAGACUAAUACCCAAUGAUAUCUCUAGAAGACAUCUGAAAGAGAUUAAAGAUUUAUCGGUGAUGGAUGGGGAUGCGUCUGAUUAGCUUGUUGGCGGGGUAACGGCCCACCAAGGCAACGAUCAGUAGGGGUUCUGAGAGGAAGGUCCCCCACAUUGGAACUGAGACACGGUCCAAACUCCUACGGGAGGCAGCA